GAUGAACGCUGGCGGCGUGCCUAAUACAUGCAAGUCGAGCGAACGGACGAGAAGCUUGCUUCUCUGAUGUUAGCGGCGGACGGGUGAGUAACACGUGGAUAACCUACCUAUAAGACUGGGAUAACUUCGGGAAACCGUAGCUAAUACCGGAUAAUAUUUUGAACCGCAUGGUUCAAAAGUGAAAGACGGUCUUGCUGUCACUUAUAGAUGGAUCCGCGCUGCAUUAGCUAGUUGGUAAGGUAACGGCUUACCAAGGCAACGAUGCAUAGCCGACCUGAGAGGGUGAUCGGCCACACUGGAACUGAGACACGGUCCAGACUCCUACGGGAGGCAGCAGUAGGGAAUCUUCCGCAAUGGGCGAAAGCCUGACGGAGCAACGCCGCGUGAGUGAUGAAGGUCUGCGGAUCGUAAAACUCUGUUAUUAGGGAAGAACAUAUGUGUAAGUAACUGUGCACAUCUUGACGGUACCUAAGCAGAAAGCCACGGCUAACUACGU
rnacentral:rRNA from 1 species